rnacentral:rRNA from 1 species
AGAGUUUGAUCCUGGCUCAGGAUGAACGCUGACAGAAUGCUUAACACAUGCAAGUCUACUUGAUCCUUCGGGUGAAGGUGGCGGACGGGUGAGUAACGCGUAAAGAACUUGCCUUACAGACUGGGACAACAUUUGGAAACGAAUGCUAAUACCGGAUAUUAUGACUGAGUCGCAUGAUUUGGUUAUGAAAGCUAUAUGCGCUGUGAGAGAGCUUUGCGUCCCAUUAGUUAGUUGGUGAGGUAACGGCUCACCAAGACGAUGAUGGGUAGCCGGCCUGAGAGGGUGAACGGCCACAAGGGGACUGAGACACGGCCCUUACUCCUACGGGAGGCAGCAGUGGGGAAUAUUGGACAAUGGACCAAAAGUCUGAUCCAGCAAUUCUGUGUGCACGAUGAAGUUUUUCGGAAUGUAAAGUGCUUUCAGUUGGGAAGAAGUCAGUGACGGUACCAACAGAAGAAGCGACGGCUAAAUACGUGCCAGCAGCCGCGGUAAUACGUAUGUCGCAAGCGUUAUCCGGAUUUAUUGGGCGUAAAGCGCGUCUAGGCGGUUUAGUAAGUCUGAUGUGAAAAUGCGGGGCUCAACCCCGUAUUGCGUUGGAAACUGCUAAACUAGAGUACUGGAGAGGUAGGCGGAACUACAAGUGUAGAGGUGAAAUUCGUAGAUAUUUGUAGGAAUGCCGAUGGGGAAGCCAGCCUACUGGACAGAUACUGACGCUAAAGCGCGAAAGCGUGGGUAGCAAACAGGAUUAGAUACCCUGGUAGUCCACGCCGUAAACGAUGAUUACUAGGUGUUGGGGGUCGAACCUCAGCGCCCAAGCUAACGCGAUAAGUAAUCCGCCUGGGGAGUACGUACGCAAGUAUGAAACUCAAAGGAAUUGACGGGGACCCGCACAAGCGGUGGAGCAUGUGGUUUAAUUCGA